UAGCAUAUCAAUAAGCGGAGGAAAAGAAACCAACCGGGAUUGCCCCAGUAACGGCGAGUGAAGCGGCAAAAGCUCAAAUUUGGAAUCCUGCGGGAGUUGUAAUUUGAAGACCGCGAGGCGGCCGCGCGGCCCCGUGCAAGUCCAUUGGAACAUGGCGCCAAGGAGGGUGAGAGCCCCGUGGCACGGCGGCAGUGCGGCCACUCAGCUUCGCGGCCAAAGAGUCGAGUUGUUUGGGAAUGCAGCUCCAAGUGGGUGGUAAAUUCCAUCUAAAGCUAAAUACAGGCGAGAGACCGAUAGCGAACAAGUACAGUGAUGGAAAGAUGAAAAGCACUUUGAAAAGAGAGUGAAACAGUACGUGAAAUUGUUGGAAGGGAAGGGCUUGCAAGCAGACACAACCUCGGUUGGGCCAGCAUCGGGGCGGCGGAGAGCAAAACGGGCGGUGAAUGUGGCGCCACUCCUUCUGGGGGUGGCGUGUUUAUAGCGCCGCCAAAUGCCCUCACGGCGCCCCGAGGCCAGCGCAUUUCGCAAGGAUGCUGGCGUAAUGGUUGCAAGUCGCCCGUCUUGAAACACGGACCAAGGAGUCUAACGUCUAUGCGAGUGUUUGGGUGGGCAAAACCCCGGACGCGGAAUGAAAGUGAAAAGAUUCGGGCCUCUUUGAGGCGCACAAUCGACCGACCCAGAAGUGCUCGGACGGGUUUGAGUAGGAGCAUAGCUGUUGGGACCCGAAAGAUGGUGAACUAUACCUGGAUAGGGUGAAGCCAGAGGAAACUCUGGUGGAGGCUCGUAGCGGUUCUGACGUGCAAAUCGAUCGUCGAAUCUGGGUAUAGGGGCGAAAGACUAAU
rnacentral:rRNA from 1 species